UACGGAGGGUGCAAACGUUGCUCGGAAUCAUUGGGCGUAAAGCGCACGUAGGCGGUCCGGUAAGUCGGAUGUGAAAUCCCUCGGCUCAACCGAGGAAGGGCAUCCGAAACUGCCGGGCUUGAGUACGGAAGAGGGUCUCGGAUUCCCGGUGUAGAGGUGAAAUUCGUAGAUAUCUGAAGGAACAUCAGUGGCGAAAGCGACUUCCUGGACCAAUACUGACGCUCAUGUGCGAAAGCGUGGGGAGCAAACAG
rnacentral:rRNA from 1 species